CAAGAAAACUGGUACCUAUUGAAAUGGUGUAAUUUGAGAUGAAAUAAAGCAUGACUUUUUUAUAAGUAGGAAAUUAAUUCAAGGAAUUCGCAUCGGUGAUACCAUUGAGAAAAAAGUUCACUAUGAAAAUUUACUUGUUAAUUAUUUAUAUUUGGAAAGUCUGUGUCUAUAAACAGUCAAAAGUCUCUUGAGUGUUUUUUAGUCAACCUUGGUGUUCUUACUCCUAUCCAAACUUGUCCUUCAUUUUCCUGAUUGAAUGUCUAGAGUUAAUCACUCUUAAUGUGACUCCUUAGAGACAUUCACACUCCAUAGGUAAGUGACCAGAAAACUCCCCUGCCAGUGUUGGUUGCCAGUAAGCACUGAAGGAGUUUUAUGACUUUGCAAUAUCCGUGUUUUGUUUUCUUUAGAAAAAUUUUUAUUGGUGCAUAAUAAUUAUACAGAAUAAUGGGUUCCAUUGUGGUGUAUUUCAUAUAUGAAUGUGACAUAAUUUGGUUCAUUUCACUUCCAAUACCUCCUUAAUGUCCCCUCCAUCCCUCUAAUAACCAUGAUUUCAUUUAGCCACAAAGGGGUCCCAGUGAGCUAAGUGGACAUAGUUAAAUAAUUAAUGAGGAUUCUGAAGAUAAGUUGGUGAGGGUAUGCAUGUUUAUUGGAAAAGGACUUUCAAAAACUGUUAGGACUAUAUGCUAACUUUGUAUGUACGCAUGCUCUGUCACACAGGGAUGCAUGUGCAUGCAUAUCAAGAUAAAAAUAGUGGCUUUUUAUUCUUGUAUUUUAUGAAACAGCCCUAAAUGGAAAAAGGCCAGCAGAAUAAUGGGUAAAUUGUGGUAUUCUUAUACUAUGGAAGACUGUUCCACAAAUAGAAAGAACAAACCGAAGGUAGUUGCAAAAAUGUGGGUGAAUUUUGCAAAGUUUUGAGUGAAAAGAAGCUAGGCAACAAAACAAUGUCUGUCUUUCUCCAAGACAGGGAUUUAAAGCUCCUUAGAUAACACACAUGUAUUUGUUCUCUAUUGCUGCCUGACAAUUGAAGAAUAAUGUGUAAUAUCUAGGCAUAUCCAGGAAUCCAGGCAUGGUGUAGGUAGAUCCUCUGUUCAAGAUUUUACCUAGCUGCUAUCAAGUCAUUGGUUGGGUUACAGUUAGCUUAAUUGGGAAAGCUUAAUCAGGGAAGAAUAUUUGCAUUCUCACUAGUAGGCAAAAUUCAUUUUCUUAGAACUAUAGGACAUAGUGGAUGCUGUCAUCUGGAGGGUGAUCUUAGCUUCUAGAGGCUACCUGUGGUUCUUAUUACGUGACUCCUCAGGAAAGGCCUAUAUUCUCUGUGCCAGUUGGUAGAGAUCACUGAGGUCAUAAGAAGGCAUGUCAGCCAUAGUAUAGUUGUAACCUAUUGGGUGGUAAAGUUUGCUGGGUUACUUAUGUCCAGAGAUGGUUAUUACAUAGAUUAAGCAAGAUUAAAACAAUGCCAGCGCUAUUGGCGUUUUUGUAUAUUAGGGAAUUGGGACACUUCUCCCUUGAACUCACAAGUUUCUUGCCUCAGUGUAUUGAGUAGCUGAGAUUACAGGUGCAUACCUCUGCCCCUGACUGCAUAGUUGCUCUCCUUGACAUGUGUGGACAGCUGAACUUAAAGUCGCUCAUGUGAAUUUUCAGGGACACCAAAUAAAACAGACACACUUUACCUUAAAACAAGCUUCAGGAUAGCUUCUCCACUCUCGGCCUCAGGCUCCCCAAAAGGGAGAGCAACAGUAAGUCACGAGAGGCUGGUGAGAGAGAGCGAGCACGUUCGGAAGUGGGCUUUUAUUGCAGGGACUCUUGUUCUUUAGAAAGUUCUAUCCAAAAAAAGGCCAGAAGGGGCUGGGUUACAAGGGACAGUUGAGUGUAACUUAACCUCAGGGGGUGACACCUACAUCUGAAGGACAUGUCUUUUACUUCCUGAUCUGGGACAACGCCCAAGUCACCAUGAAAUGUAGUGAUUGGUCAGAGGCUCUUGCUUCAGGACUGGAGAGUCAUUCAUAGUGGCUUCCCACACAAAGUGUUUUCUUUUGGAGAGCUGUGAUACAUAUCACAGGGAACCCUUCAAAUGAGUUUGGUAGGCAGUGGGAGUUUGGAUGCCACCUACCUGGUAGUGCCAGGCCCAUCAUGUGUCUGUCUAUGGAGGGUCAAGGGGAAUACUACUGGGGCACAAGCUUAUUGUGUCUGAUGUACAAAAUAAGUUGGGUCAACAUGCAGCAUGCAUCCAGAGUUGGGAAACAAGUCAUCAACUAUGUUAGCAUAUUUGCAGAGAGUACCUCUGCUAGUGGGAUACCUUUGAGCACAUGGGCUCCAUAGUAGGAGGUCAGUAGGAUGUUGGUAACUGGGUCAGGGGUUGAUGGUCAUCUAAGGAAUGUGUUCUGGGCUCAUGGCAUGGGCAUAGCACUUGGACACUGCUGACUACCAUGCAGCAGUUAUAUCCAGAAGGUAAAGUUUCCUUCCUUUUGUGAUGUCCAUCCAUUUACCCCUUACACAUUCCUCUUAUUUGGUCUUGUGGUAUCUCUGGAGAAUGGUCAUAGUUAUAGCCCUGUCUUUACUGGGAGAGUUGGGUUCUUUUGUGUUGGUUAGUUGAGACACAAGGGAGGCAGCACAGUAAACAUCUAAUAUAAUAGAAGCAUCUUAAUUACUGUGAGAGAGGUGUUCCCUGGAGGACUUUUGGGAAGUUUGUAGAUGACCAUGGUGCUUAGUCAGCCAGAGGGGAGUGAGAGAUGAUGAGAUCUGUGGGUGGGUCUCUGCCUUUUUGUUAAGUUCCUUGGGUCUCUUAAAAAAAGAUGGGGUUUUAAUGAUCAAGGGUAUCCAGGGUAUCCAGAGCCAAGAUGACUGCCUGGCAUUUGCCCAGCUGUGUUGCUUCUUGGGUUUAGAUUUUAAUUAGGACCAUCCUGGCUGAGGAAUGGAAAGCAACAACUCUCCUUUAAAAUGCAUAUACGAUAGUCAGUAGUUCCUUUCCCCCAUCCUACCCCCAGGGAUUGAACCCAUGGGCUCUUUACCACUGAGCUACAUCCCUAGCCCUUUUUUAUUUUGAGAGAGCUUGUUGCUAAGUUACUGAGGAUCUCAUUAAGUUGCUCAGACUGAACUUGAAUUUGUGGUCCUCCUGCUUCUGCCUCCUGAGUUGUUGGGCUAACGGGCAUGUGCUACUGCACCUAGCUAGUAGUGCCCUUUUGUAAUGAAGUCUCUGAAUUCCAGUUACUUUUCACUCAGUUGAUCCCAAGGGGCUUUUCAGAUUAUCAGUGAGUCUCGAGGAGGAGUCACCUCCUCUAGCACCCUUGCCUCAGGCAAGGGACUGAAGUCAGAGGAAACCCUCUUCUCCUAUAGGUGGAGUAUACUAGAAGAUUUAGUUUUGGUUCUACCCUGUCUUAAGGAGGCCUAAGUAGCAGUAUGAAGCUCUGUCCUGUUUCUGUGACCUUUGGGUAUUAUAGGGUCACAGGCUCAGGAUAUAUUGGAGUCUUUAUUUCCAGGAGAUACCAGUUGGUGGCCAGUCAUUAGUUUUGAUGGCAAUACCAUGAAGCUGAGAGGGGCAAUUUCUUGCAUUAGAAGCCUUGGAAGAACUAACAGUCUUUAUUUCAGAUUAAGAAGAAGAAACAAUUGUAUUGAAUGGAAGAGCAAUGGAGGUAAUCACCCUCUCACAAACUGUGUAUUAUGCAAAUUUUAAUCAUUGAAGCCCUAUUUUUUUAAGAUGGACACAAUAUCUGUAUUUAUUUAUUUUUUAAUCUUUUAAAAUAUAUAUUUACUUUAGUUGGAAAUGGACCUUUAUUUUAUUUAUUUAUAUGUGGUGCUGAGACUCAAACCCAGGGUCUCACACAUGCUAGGCAAGCGCUCGACCACCGAGCCUCAACCCCCUAUUUUAUUUACUUU
rnacentral:lncRNA from 1 species